rnacentral:rRNA from 1 species
UACGAAGGGGGCUAGCGUUGCUCGGAAUCACUGGGCGUAAAGGGUGCGUAGGCGGGUCUUUAAGUCAGGGGUGAAAUCCUGGAGCUCAACUCCAGAACUGCCUUUGAUACUGAAGAUCUUGAGUUCGGGAGAGGUGAGUGGAACUGCGAGUGUAGAGGUGAAAUUCGUAGAUAUUCGCAAGAACACCAGUGGCGAAGGCGGCUCACUGGCCCGUAACUGACGCUGAGGAGCGAAAGCGUGGGGAGCAAACAGG